rnacentral:rRNA from 1 species
GUAAUGCUUAGGAAUCUGCCUAUUAGUGGGGGACAACAUUCCGAAAGGAAUGCUAAUACCGCAUACGCCCUACGGGGGAAAGCAGGGGAUCUUCGGACCUUGCGCUAAUAGAUGAGCCUAAGUCGGAUUAGCUAGUUGGUGGGGUAAAGGCCUACCAAGGCGACGAUCUGUAGCGGGUCUGAGAGGAUGAUCCGCCACACUGGGACUGAGACACGGCCCAGACUCCUACGGGAGGCAGCAGUGGGGAAUAUUGGACAAUGGGCGGAAGCCUGAUCCAGCCAUGCCGCGUGUGUGAAGAAGGCCUUUUGGUUGUAAAGCACUUUAAGCGAGGAGGAGGCUCCUUUAGUUAAUACCUAAAGUGAGUGGACGUUACUCGCAGAAUAAGCACCGGCUAACUCUGUGCCAGCAGCCGCGGUAAUACAGAGGGUGCGAGCGUUAAUCGGAUUUACUGGGCGUAAAGCGUGCGUAGGCGGCUUUUUAAGUCGGAUGUGAAAUCCCUGAGCUUAACUUAGGAAUUGCAUUCGAUACUGGAAAGCUAGAGUAUGGGAGAGGAUGGUAGAAUUCCAGGUGUAGCGGUGAAAUGCGUAGAGAUCUGGAGGAAUACCGAUGGCGAAGGCAGCCAUCUGGCCUAAUACUGACGCUGAGGUA